CUCAUUUUGCCCUUCCUCCUUCCCAUUUGUAUAAAAGGGGGCAUGGGAUACUCCACAGACUUACAGGAGGGACACCAGAGCUCUUUCCUGCACGCCCCAAUAAGAGUUUGCCAGCAAUUCAUUGAAAAACCAAGAUGAAAAUCCUCUUGAGCCUGACUGCCUUCUCUUUGACCCUUGCCUUGUGUCAGGGACCCUGCAUAUUUCUCGAGCCCAAAGAAGAGAUUAAAGAUGGUAAGCCGGUGCUGCCCACUGAGUGUACUGAUCCCAUUAAUGGGAGCAAGCAUCCAUUCCUCUCCAAGUGGAAUACAACGAAUUGCAUGAAAUGUGUAUGUAGUGAAGAGGGAGCGCUGUGUUGUUCCAGGCACUCUGGUCUUGUCGAACGUCAGGGAUGUAAAGCACUGUUCAAUCCAAACAAAUGUGAAUAUGAGUUCUAUAAACUGGAUGAUCCCUCCAAACCCUGUCCCUGAGCUUUACCAAUCUCACCCAAAUUCCUUUCAUGUUAGAGAAUCUGAAUAAAUCAGUCAUAUAUGCAUUUCAGUGUGUAUCUGUUGUCUUUGCUUGAUAUCACUACUUGCAAAAUUUGGUACAUAUCAUAAUGAAAGUGAUGGACAUGCCUAUCUCAGCUAUCA